GGCGGCAUGCCUUACACAUGCAAGUCGAACGGCAGCACGGGGGCAACCCUGGUGGCGAGUGGCGAACGGGUGAGUAAUACAUCGGAACGUGUCCUGUAGUGGGGGAUAGCCCGGCGAAAGCCGGAUUAAUACCGCAUACGAUCUACGGAAGAAAGCGGGGGACCGAAAGGCCUCGCGCUAUAGGGGCGGCCGAUGGCAGAUUAGCUAGUUGGUGGGGUAAAGGCCUACCAAGGCGACGAUCUGUAGCUGGUCUGAGAGGACGACCAGUCACACUGGGACUGAGACACGGCCCAGACUCCUACGGGAGGCAGCAGUGGGGAAUUUUGGACAAUGGGGGCAACCCUGAUCCAGCAAUGCCGCGUGUGUGAANAANGNCUUCGGGUUGUAAAGCACUUUUGUCCGGAAAGAAAACUUCUGGGUUAAUACCCUGGGA
rnacentral:rRNA from 1 species